ensembl:lncRNA
CCCGGAGUUCCAGCCAGAAGACGGACAGUAAGCGGUGCUCACCAAUUUGCUCUGCCUCCUGAGAGUUCGCCUCCUAGCAAAAGCCCCUCAUCUUCACUGACCUUGGGGGCGUGGGGUUGGCAAGGGUGCGAGAGCGGAACCCGCCCCUCUGCUGCUGGCCACGCCGGAGUUUGCAGUUUCCAUGCAAACGGUAAACAGAGCUGUUUUCUCCUCUGUCACUCCUGUCAUACCCAUGAUAUGAUUCUACCCGCUGAGCCCUGGAUGCCAGAGGGUGAGGAGCUGGUGCUGGUUGACAUAUGGUGUCAGAAAGUGGGAACUGAAUCGAUCUCACCUUCAUGGACUGGCAUCCUCUGGAAAUGGCUACAAUACCUACACGAGUCCCUUGUGUUCACCACUUCUAUGGACCGCUAGUUCCUCCAAUAGAAGCUUAGUCCUGAGCUAACAUCUGCUGCCAAUCCUUCUCUUUUUGCUGAGGAAGACUGGCCCUGAGCUAACAUCCGUGCCCAUCUUUCUCCACUUUAUAUGUGGGACGCCUACCACAUGGCUUGCCAAGUGGUGCCAUGUCCGCACCUGGGAUCCAAACUGGCAAACCCUGGGCCACCAAAGAGGAAUGUGUGAACUUAACUGCUGCGCCACUGGGCUGGCCCCGUAGUGAGAUCUUUAACCAUGCCACUUUAAGUCUUUUGUCAUUUACAGACAGUUAUUGUUUUACUCUGAUACUUUUGGAAAUGUGUCUCAUCUUCAGAGAGCUACAUGGAAAGGACUCUGACCUUCUAGAAUUCAGGUUUCUAGUAAAAUUUCAAAUUAUAAAACUGAACUGGGUAAGAAAUUACAGUACUCCUACAGAGACUCAUGGCUUCAUAAAAUUGCUAACAAAAGAUCAAAGAACAAAUAAAUAUUAAUUACAUGGGACUACAUGAACCAGGGAGGAUGCUCUAAUGUUUUUUUUUUUCCAGAUUUAAAGAAAUCUUUUCUCUUAAGCUGUCACAACGUGGUAGGAUAUAUCUUUGUGAACAAAGAUGAAACAUUUACUUUUUCUCCCUACCUCAUCCCUCCAGAAUUCAGAAACUGUAAAAGAAGCUUUCCUGGAUUCCAACUUAAAGCAUCCUAUUGGUCAGUCUAGAGCCUGGUGACUAGGUAUUCUGGAAGCAUCAUCAGAGGAAGACAGCCCUCAAGCCUUGUUGGAAAGGAUCUUACCAAGUGCUCCUGACCACUGAUACUACUGCAGAACUAGAAGGCAUUGAACCUUGGAGAUACAUCUCACAGCUAAAGAAGGCUACACCCAACAUUUGGUCCUGUGUGAAUGCUGGAGACCUCCAAAUCAAACUGACCAGAAAGAGAAGCAGCCAACAUCUGAAACAGAUAGCUUUUCCAAGAUGGCUGCACCAAGCCUGUACACCUUUUAUUCACUGUUGCACCUUACCUUAUUUUCUGUCUGUCUGUCUUGGAAAGACAAUACUCUUAUCCACAUCUCCCAAUCUAUUACCAAAAGGGUAAAUCUUUCUGACUGUUGGGUUUGUCAUCAGAAACCUCAUUCUGUACAUGAAUCUAGAGAAUCUUUUAGCACAUUUAAUUACCAAUCUCUCCACCAUUCCUCUCCUAAUUCCUUAUGCUGUCUAGAACUCCUUGCCUAACCAAUUGAACCUCCAGAGAUUGAACUGGUAACAUUGUAACUAUUGUAAAUGCCUCUUGUUGAACUUGGGUAAACACCUCCAGCAAGGUAAAGACAGAACUAGACAGAAUUUGAGCACAAGCUGAAAGAUUCGAUGCAGUGCCCACUGACAUCCUGUAGUUCUUUGAUCUGUUUAGCUGGCUACCCUCAAGAACUGUCUCUUGGUUCAGGUCUAUUCUGCAAUUUGGACUUAGCAUUUUGUUUAUUAUUAUAGAAAUUCUCACUUUUGUAAAACGUCUCUUCUGCAUGGCUUGAUGUUAUAAAAACACCACUUGGAUAAUGGUCGCUCAGUGUUUUGAAAUGAUUGCUAAAGCUUACAAGCCUUCACCUGAGAAACUUCAAGGAACUAAAGACAAUGUCUGCCCUUGAAAGAACUUGAUGGUAAGGCUUUUCUCUGCUCUGGCACUCCUGUUCUUCAAAUGUGGCCUAGGAUCUUAAGGAAAACACUUUCCCUCCUACAUGGGACAGGAAAUACUAGGAAUGAGCCUUCCUGGUUAUGAGAGACCAACAGUGCUUUGAUGACUGAUCAGCAAUACUUUCCAAGAAAGAUCUUGAUCAAAAGGGGAAAAAUGUCAAAAUUGACUUUAGUGGAGCCAUUUUAAAAUGGAGUUGGAGCUGCCUCUCCAGAGAAAGUGCCCUGCCGUUUUGAACCUUGGACUGGGCCAAACCUUUGGACUGGGCCAAAAUGGCCACUGUUUUACAAGCAAUUGUUUGAGGAGUCAGUAGGAGAAUGGACAUCCUGAUCACAAAGGCUGAGGAUUGCGGACUUUCUGAAGAUAGAAUCAAUACUCAAUCAAUGCUUAGCCAAGACUAACUUCUGCCUCCAACUCCAGUUAAAAUUCUUUGUAACAUAAACCUCCCUUCUUUGCCUUUAAAAGCCCCUGACUUUUACUUCCUAGCUGGAUGCUAUCUGUGCUCCCCAAAAUGAAAUUCUUUGAUCCCAAAUAAAUGCUUUGCCUCUUAAUCUGGUUUCUGUUUUUGAAGGGUGACCCAACCAAUACAAAUACAACACACACACACACACAAAACA